rnacentral:rRNA from 1 species
AUGGAUGAGGUCACAAGGGGUAUACAAGGAGAUAUCCCAUGGUGUAUGCUCUUUGCGGAUGAUGUGGUGCUAGUUGACGAUAGUCGGACGGGGGUAAAUAGGAAGUUAGAGUUAUGGAGACAAACCUUGGAAUCGAAAGGGUUUAGGCUUAGUAGAACUAAAACCGAGUACAUGAUGUGCGGUUUCAGUACUACUAGCUGUGAGGAGGAGGAGGUUAGCCUUGAUGGCCGGGUGGUACCUCGGAAGGACACCUUUCGGUAUUUGGGGUCAAUGUUGCAGGAGGAUGGGGGUAUUGAUGAAGAUGUGAACCAUCGAAUCAAAGCCGGAUGGAUGAAGUGGCGCCAAGCUUCUGGCAUUCUCUGUGACAAGAGAGUGCCACAAAAGCUAAAAGGCAAGUUCUACAGGACGGCG